ACAGCAGCAGCCGCGGGAAUACGUAGGGUGCAAGCGUUAAUCGGAAUUACUGGGCGUAAAGCGUGCGCAGGCGGUUAUAUAAGACAGAUGUGAAAUCCCCGGGCUCAACCUGGGAACUGCAUUUGUGACUGUAUAGCUAGAGUACGGCAGAGGGGGAUGGAAUUCCGCGUGUAGCAGUGAAAUGCGUAGAUAUGCGGAGGAACACCGAUGGCGAAGGCAAUCCCCUGGGCCUGUACUGACGCUCAUGCACGAAAGCGUGGGGAGCAAACAGGAUUAGAUACCCGUGUAGUCCCUGUCUCUUAUAA
rnacentral:rRNA from 1 species